GUGCUGGAUUCGGCAGCACUUUUACUAAAAUUGGAACAAUAUAAAAAGGAUUAACAUGGCCUCUGCGCAAGGAUGACAUGCAAAUUUGUGAAGUGUUCCAUAUUUUU
ensembl:snRNA U6 U6 spliceosomal RNA